UCGGGUGGCGCCACUGUACCCGACGCUUGCCCUGAUUGCCACAGUGGUGCUUCGGCGGCUUCCAGACCCUCUCCUGGAUGUGGUGAUGGUCACACCACAGCCGUGGUGUGGCUGAGUCUCCGCUACAGCUACAACCUCCCUCUGGAGAGAACCUAGUGUCUUAUAUGGGGAAGCAAAGCAGCAGCUCACAACUCCGACCUGCAACUCCCGAUGAAGGCACAACGACGCACCAUGCUGCUCCUUUGGAAGAUACUGGCCUUCAUUCGUCAAAAGUUGGUGUACAAGAGCUCCAGGAGAAGAAUCCCGAAGAAAACCAGCACCCAACUAUGUGUUUUAGCUCCCUGGAGCUGGCCAUGUUAAUAUUAGGUGUAUUUUAUAGUUGAAUACCUGAUUUGUACUGCCAUGACUGUAAAGUACUUUGUUUGGCUGUCGUUUGAAAUUGUAUGUGUUAUUGCCUCUGUUUGAAUUAA